GAUGAAGAACGUAGCGAAAUGCGAUAAGUAAUGUGAAUUGCAGAAUUCAGUGAAUCAUCGAAUCUUUGAACGCACAUUGCGCCCGCCAGUAUUCUGGCGGGCAUGCCUGUCCGAGCGUCAUUUCAACCCUCGAACCCCUCCGGGGGGUCGGCGUUGGGGAUCGGCCCUUUCACCGGGUGCCGUCCCCCAAAUACAGUGGCGGUCUCGCCGCAGCCUCUCAUGCGCAGUAGUUUGCACACUCGCACCGGGAGCGCGGCGCGUCCACGUCCGUAAAACACCCCAAACUUCUGAAAUGUUGACCUCGGAUCAGGUAGGAAUACCCGCUGAACUUAAGCAUAUCAAUAAGCGGAGGA
rnacentral:misc_RNA from 1 species